CUUCCUUUGCAGAUUGGCUUAAAAGCCAAGAAUAUUUCUUUCGGCUGAGAACUCUCUUAUGUAAGAGGAGAAUUUUUGACAGAGCUGGGGAGAGGAUUUGGGCCCUGCUCUCAGCCCUGGGAUUUUCCAUGCCCUGGAUUUUGGGGUGAGCCCCUUCCCCAGCCCCUGCCACUGCUGGUUCUGAUCUGAACCAAAAUCUGCUGCGAUACAGAGAGCAACAAGAGCCCCCAGCAGGUGGGGAGACACGGAGGCAAUCUCAUUUUUUGGCCUUGUUGCAAGAGUGGUUUUAUUUUUGGAGCAUUUCAUAAACCCCGUUUGUUUAUGUGGCAUUUAUUUUUGUCUGAUCUCGAGGAGAAUGGAGUGCAUGAAAAGCUUUUAUUUAAUUUGCAUUUGAUUUGUGUUUAUUGACACAUUUACUGCGGUUCCAAACAGACUCUUCCCUCCUCAGCAUGUGGCUGUGGUAGUUUUUAUCUACUGGAUUCCUUAUCACCAACGAAAGCUUUUUAUUUUUGCUUUAAUUCCAGUUUUACCACUAAGAGAGCAGGCAGCAGUGGCAGAAGCAUCCUCCAACGUGUCCCAUUUAGCCCCAAAACAGGUUGGAGCAGAAAAACACCGCUUCAAGCCCGAAUUUAACAUCAGAACGAAUUUCUGACAGAUGAAUUUCUGCCUUUUUUGGGAAAAUAAAGGAUCACAGCAGGAGAGGAGAAAGGACAAAGGCUCUGAAAAUCAGGAAUAUGACCAGUGGCCUGAGAUGGGGAUAACACCACCCACCCCAAACGUGACCCUCAGUGCUCCAGGGGGGCUCAACCCCCCAAAAAAACCCAACCUGAGACCCCUCAGCUCCAUCCCAGCCCGCCCUGCUGGGGGUGAACCCCCAAAAUCCAGAGGGAUCCGGGGGGGUGGGAAUUUGGGACGGGAGCAGAUCCAGCCCAAAGAUGAAAGCCUCUGCUCUGAUGUGCUUAUCAAAACACCCCACAAAGAGACUGACACAAUUAGGUGACAACUCAGCCCACGGCAGCUCCUUUAACUUGCAAAAAUAUUUAAUCUCCAGUAGGAAAAUGUGGUUUCUGAGUGUUGAAUUGCCAGCCUUAAGCGCUGGUGCUGCUGCAGGGAGUGACAGCGUAUUUGUUAAUCAGGGGAUGUUUUAGAGCACCUUGGUUAGUGAUUCUUGCAGCCCUGAAUUAGCAAAGUUUAUUUUAAAACCAGAAAUCCAAUGUAUUAUCUGACCUGAGCGGGUCGGUUUGGGAGAUUUAAUAACCAGGGGGAAAAAGCGGAAUUUUAAAAGGAACUCAGAGGUGGGGAAGGGCUACAAGAUCUCUUCCAAUCCACUCAGUGAUCUCACAGGGGGUUUUUUCCAACUUUAAAUAUUCUUGAUCUUCAGAUAAAAAUGCAUUUUAACCCAAACACAGCCCAGGAGCCCACGGAACUGAAGAACAAACCAAGAUUUUUAGGGAGUGUCUCCCUCACAAUGAAAGCUUUUCCACAGGCAGGAAGCGUUUAAGGUCCUCUCAGGACGAGGAGCAUCUCCCCUCCUGUCUGCACUGACAAUUCCACGUCCAAAGGGGUUAACUGCUGCUCCCUGCCCCUGGAAUCUCAGCAACACCAGCACAGAAACAAUUCCUGCACUUCACAUUUGCCCCGUGCUUCCUCAUCCCUUUUUCCCCCUACCAAUUCCAGCCUGAGACAGAUCAAUACAUAAAUUAAAAGACAAAAGAACCCGACACAUCCACUGUGGCUGGGAGAACAGACCAAGCCAGACUUUCUGGUGGAAAAAACAUCCAUCUUUUAUACAAUAAACCAGCAAUCUGCUGCUUCGUGCCAAAAUCAACACCCUCAGAAGCACCCUCGUGUGAUGGGCAACACAAGGGCUUUGUUUUGAUUAAAUAAAAAAUAAAUAACCCCCCCAAGAACAACCCCCAGCCAAGGCUUUGUGUGGUGAAUGUUGUCACGGGGUUGUGUUUGACACCAGCCUGAAUGGGUCUGGGGGCUCUGGUGUCCCCCAGGGAGGGCUGGUGGCAGUCUCAGCACCACGUUCUGGGGUGAAAAUAAGAGUUAAAGGGUAAAAAAGGAGGAUUUGGGGUCUCCUGCUCAGCCAGCCCCACUUCCCAUCACGCUGGAAAGGCAGGAGCAUCCACAGGCUGAGCUCAGCCCGUCCUUCCUAACAUGGGGGAAAGCUGGAUCCCACCCAAAAUGCAGCAUUUCCAUCUGUCUCCGUGGCUUUUUCCGAGCACAGACACCUCACACAGCCCCCCUCUGCCUCAGUUUCCCCCCUCAGCCCUUUCCCCCCCUGUUUAUUCAGGAAUCAUCCCUGGGGUGACAAAAGUGCCUCCAACCCCAAAUGCGACUGCGGGAAAACGGCUGAAAAAUCCAAUUGUGCCCCAAAAAAAACCCCUCGGGUGCUGCUGGCUGAGGGCACAGGAGCCCUGCUGGGCUCUGGGGGUGCAUUUUGGGGGGCAGGGAGUGGGGGGAGCGCUGGGAGCUGCUGCAGCCCCCGAGGCUCUGUCCUGCCCAGCGUGGGAGGAUUUCAACGUGGAGCUGAAUCCCUCGUGACUGGGAGCAGGCAGGCUCCUCAGCUCAGGGAUGAGACGACAAAAAUUCACUUCAGAGAGCAAGAAACUUGGUUUUCCUCAGCCAGAGCGAUGCUGGGGUGUUUCCAGUGGAAAAAACCCAGCGUGAGAGGGAGUGAAUCCCCAGCAGCCAAAGGGAUUUAGGGGGUUCUGCUCAAGGAGCUGCUGCCUGGCCUUGGGGUUGGGGCAGCACCAAGCCCCAGAGUUCCCACUGUUGGGAAUCCAGAUCUCACUGUUUUCCUUAAAAACAUGAGAAAAAGGGGGAAGAAGAAAAAAAAAAAAA